rnacentral:misc_RNA from 1 species
UGAGCUCUGGUUGUCGUUUCUUUAGCAAUAAGAAACUUUGGUUUUGGUGUUUUCUUUCAUUUUGUUUUCAUUUGAUUUGGAGAAGAGAAACUGAAUGGCGGUGGAGUAUAAGUGCUGUGGAACGGAUUUCUUUAUAGACGUUUUGAUAAUAGUACUUCUGGUGAUGUUCGCUGGAUUGAUGUCUGGGCUUACUUUGGGGCUUAUGUCUAUGAGUAUCGUCGACCUUGAAGUUCUUGCCCAGUCUGGGACACCGAAAGAUCGCAAACACGCAACAAAGAUAUUACCCGUUGUCAAAAAUCAGCAUUUGUUGCUGUGCACGCUACUCAUUUGCAAUGCUGCUGCCAUG